rfam:Schistosoma rodhaini strain Burundi genome assembly, scaffold: SROB_scaffold0000776
GCACUCUUGAGGAGUCCCGAAAUAGGACGAAACGGCCGUCUAGUGC